CUCGUGCUUGUAGAGAACCUGAUUCACAACUAAUCAAUAGCUCUUGUAACAGCUCUACUACACCUUCAACUGCUGGUUCGGCUGAGAUGACAUCUGGAGAGUAUUGCAGCACAGCUCCUCUCAAGGGAAAAGGACGCCUCUAACAGCAUACACCCCUCUGAUACUCAGGGUGGCCAUUACAACAGGAUAGAAGACUUAACAUCCCUUCAGAGUAACGUUACAAGAAAAGUAGCCAAUAUAGCUGUGACAGUUUAGAAACAAUUUUAGAUCAAAGGCAGUUAUGAUAG